CUAACCAUAAAUAUUUUUUUCUAUUUUCUUCAUAUUCACUCACCUUUGACGAUAAAAAGUUAAAAGACGAUUAAAGUCUCGUGAGAUUAAAAAUAGCAGCAAGAGAUCAAUCAGGCGACCACGGUCCAAGAAGGAAGAGAUUCUCUAAAACCACGUGUUGUAGGUGUCAAAAGUGCAUGAGCUUCAGAAAUUCCACAUAUUCCAGCAGCACGGAAUAAUACAGUAAAAUUGUUUGCACACACAUAAAAAUAUGGACAUUGCCGUGCUCUUAAUAAAUGAAAAAGAGAUCUAAAACUUUCACUCCAUUCUUUAUAUAAAGCUUCUUUGAUGGCUAUAUUGUUUACUAUUGUUGUAUUACUUGUUAAAUUUGCACUCACUUUGCCAGCAGAGCGAGGAAAUAAUUCUAACCAUGGUAAUGAAGGAUGUUGCCAUAUUAAACAACAUCUGUGCAAUCUGGUCAAUAGAUAUUUUAAUCAAUUGA